CUACGGGGGGCUGCAGUGGGGAAUAUUGGACAAUGGGGGAAACCCUGAUCCAGCAAUGCCGCGUGUGUGAAGAAGGCCUGCGGGUUGUAAAGCACUUUCGGUUGGGAGGACUGCUUCUAGCACUAAUAUUGUUGGAAGUUGACGUUACCUUCAGAAGAAGCACCGGCUAACUCCGUGCCAGCAGCCGCGGUAAUACGGAGGGUGCAAGCGUUAAUCGGAAUUACUGGGCGUAAAGCGCGCGUAGGCGGCUAGAUCAGUCGGGUGUGAAAGCCCCGGGCUUAACCUGGGAACUGCAUCCGAUACUGUCUAGCUUGAGUACAGGAGAGGAGAGUGGAAUUCCACAUGUAGCGGUGAAAUGCGUAGAUAUGUGGAGGAACACCAAUAGCGAAGGCAGCUCUCUGGCCUGAUACUGACGCUGAGGUGCGAAAGCGUGGGGAGCAGACAGGAUUAGAUACCCGAGUAGUC
rnacentral:rRNA from 1 species